CCCUACACCUGUCAAAUGAUCAUUCUGCCAAAUAAUUUCCACUCCAUCCUUACCAUCACAACAUUCAAACUCUCUACACACCUGAGCGAGUUACUUUAUUUGAAGGACCAAAAUAUUUGCUAUAUAGACUAAAUUUUAACAAAAAGAAAUAAUAAAGUACUGUAUAUACGUGCAUGCAGAGGUUGGAAUAUCCCGUCAAAACAACAGCUUUGGUAGGGUACUUAAAAUGGACUAAUAUUAUAACAUUCAGUACGUGGUUUAAAUCAGUUUUCAUCAUUCCUUCACAUACCCUUUUCAUUCAUAUAUGAAUAUUUGCGAGUUUUGUUUUAUUUGCGAGAUUUUAAGAAUAUAUAUACUUGUCAG